ensembl:lncRNA
AUGUCAGAGCUAAAGGAUCUUCAAAUAUGGGAUGUUAUAACAGAGAAGAUUAAAACCAAAAGGGCUUUUAUGGAUCUUCUAGCCCAACUCCCUCAGUUUCAGAUAAGAAAACUGAGGCAGAGAGAAGUUCAGGGUCACACAGGUAGUAUCUUCAGCAGAAUUGAAACUCAAGUCUUCCAGCUUCUAUUCACUGAGCCACCAAGCUGCCUUUAGCACUAUGAAUGGUUCUCUAGUCACUGUCAUGAGUCAGUCCUAUUGCUUCCCCAACAACUUGAGAUGUGAUGCUAAGGAUAGCUGGACCCAGGCAAGGAAGCUCACCAGGAGGCAGCCUCCGGGUUCUUCCUGCCUUCUCACAGCCACACACCCCCUUUUGGUCCUCUCAGCUGGACCUCUCAAAUUAAAGCUGGUGUAGUCAGGACCCCAAUCAACUUCCUGGUGGGAAGAGGGGAACAGCCUUGAGAUGUGUUUCACUUAAUUCUCACGUUAGGCAGGGAUUUCACUUGGUCCUGAUGGCCACCAAAACAUUCACAAAACCAUCCAACGUUCAGCCAAGCUCAGCUCCACUUGGGGAAAACUUGGUGGUCUGAAGAGUACACACAGUCCUUUCUCCCCAGCCUCCUCUCCAGCUCUCCUCCAGGCUCCCCUGGGCCCAGAGAGCACAAAGAAUCCUGGUGCUCAGAGAUGUCCCCAAAGCUUUUACCUUUAAAGGAAAUGUAAUUUUUGUUCAUCAUAAGUGAAAACAAGCAUGAAUAUAUUUAAAUGGCUAAUAUUUAGACUGCAGGGGCAUAAUGGCAUCACAGUCCAAAUGGGGCCAACUCCUGCCUCGAGUUCAUUAAUCAGAUAACCACAUGACCACCAGCAGUGACCAAUUGGUGCUGGGUUUCUCCAGCAUCCCAGCUGUUCUUAAUUGAAGCCGCCUCUGCUAAAUUGGAUUGGGGUGUGAGGCCAAGCCAGUUUUUCUGAGAAGGCAUCAACCCUCCCAACACAGCUACCUCUGUGAUCCCUGGCAAACCGAAAAAUCGUUGUUUCCUCCAGUAGGGUCAGCCAGCAUCCCAAGAAUGGUAUGUCUCUCUCCCCUCUUGUGCUCUGUGCUCUAGCUGGUGGGUUGGGUGACUGGCAGGAGUUCCAGAGAAAUAACUUUUUACUCCUUGUUGCCUAUUCUCCUGCAUCGGGUUGGUUGCCCUCCUAGGCCUCCUAUGGGGCAGUGGGCAGGGGCUGUGGCUGCCAUCAACAGCUUGCUUAAUGAUUGAUUAUGGGGCCAUAGGCUCUGGCCCAAGGAACCCAGAAAAUGUCAAGGACUUCAACUCAAUCUCUGUCUGCCAUCCAUCCAAAAGGGCCAAACCUUGGGGAAGCCAGAAAGGAAAUUACACAGUGGUCUGAGAAAGGGCUUGGAGACCCAGUCAGGCAGAAGGAAAGCUAUGGGGAUGGGGGGGGAAGUUAGCUCUGGUUUGUAUAACUGUGGCCCACAGGAUCCCCAGAAAAUGAACCGAGGUUUGAGAUACAUUGUGUAUCGGCAUCUACUCAAAUUAUAGCUCAAGUUGUCUCCAGUGUGUUUACUAAUAACAGUCAAAGUCAAACAUAUAAAUUCAAAGCAAAAUAAUAGUAACUAAAUACAAAAACUAGUAAUAAGAAUAAGUGCCCUUGAAUACCCAGGGGAAUAUGCUUUCUGACAGGGUAUUGCAGUUGAGUCAUUUCAGUUGUGACUUACUCUUUGUGACACCAUUUUUUUUCUUGGCAUUGACACUGGAGUGGUUUGCCAUUUCCUUCUCCAGCUCAUUUUAGAGAGGAAGGACCUUUUAAAAUUUUAUUUAUUUAUUUAUUGCAUGAAUGUUCUCAGCCAUCUUCCACUCUCCAUCUCUUCCCUGCUUUAGAGAAGGCAUCAUUUAACAAAAAAAUAAAAUAAAAAUAAAUAUAUAUAUAUGUGUAUAU